rnacentral:lncRNA from 1 species
CUCAUCUCAAAGACAAUUACUAGCCUGUGGUCUCCGCAUUAACAGCAACAAGACAAGGCUCUGGACAGCUAAGCAGCAGAUUUGCUGAGAAGUGCUCAGGACCUCCACAGUGCUACCACCAAGUCAGAGCUUGUGAGCAACAAACUGCUGAGCUGCUUGCUUAUGACAUUCUAGGUCUCUUUUCUUUCCUUCUGCAGAGUGAGUAGAACAAAAUUUAACAUAAUUUGCAUCUUUUUUUUCCUGCAUUUGUUGGAACUAGUUGAUCUUUAAUGUCCCUUGCAACCCAAGACAUUCUGUGAUUUUCUAUAUUCACUCAUGACUCCAUAUUAAUUGCUCAGUUAGUAACUCAUUUUAUUUCUUCUUGAGCUUUAUAACAGCCCUAUACAGCCAUUUGAAAAAUUCAGUGGAAUAGACUUUCACAAACAGCUUCUGUCCUUUUCCUUUUUUCCUUCUUUUCCAUCCUCUUCUUCCCAGAACAUAAUUGUUCAUAUACUGAAUUGAGCUGAAAAGAUAAUUAAGGACACUCUCAUUCAACUGAAAUGUCACUAUUUUCUGAUAAUAUAUGACUUCAGUUUAAUAUAAUCACAGCAUUUAAACCAAUUGGGUUUUUUUCUUUAUUCUGUAUGGUAUUUUGAAUAUUAUACAAGUUUUUAAUAUAUGUAUUAGAAUUUAUGAUGUAGAAAUAUGAACACCUGACAAGAAUACUCUAUUAGGACAGACUC